UACGAAGGGGGCUAGCGUUGCUCGGAAUCACUGGGCGUAAAGCGCACGUAGGCGGCUUUUUAAGUCAGGGGUGAAAUCCUGGAGCUCAACUCCAGAACUGCCUUUGAUACUGAGAAGCUUGAGUCCGGGAGAGGUGAGUGGAACUGCGAGUGUAGAGGUGAAAUUCGUAGAUAUUCGCAAGAACACCAGUGGCGAAGGCGGCUCACUGGCCCGGUACUGACGCUGAGGCACGAAAGCGUGGGGAGCAAACGGG
rnacentral:rRNA from 1 species